GGCGAUCUGAGCUGCAUGGGGACUGGGAGGAGGGCGGAUGGGUCACAGACCUGAGACCAAACACAGAGGAGGUGGUUUCAUCUUCGUAGAGCUGCCUGGAUGCCGGCUGGAGAAGAGAAGAAAGACAGCAGUGAGAGUUAUAUUUCUCCUGUGCAGGAAAAAGGUCAAGCAGUUCUCCUCCAUCACACUGGCAGGGGUUGGAAAGAUCGCAUCUGAACAACUUCUUCCUUGAUUUCACUGUGAGUAUUCUCUGAAAUAGAUAGAUUAUUUGCGGUUUUCCUGUCAGGUUCUGUGCUCUUAAAACUUCUUUAAAGUCCCCCGAUGAUUUUUUUUUUUUUAAUAAAAACGUUCCUAGUGAUGUUUUAGUUAAGGUUAUGAAGUUUUUAACCAAAAUCAAGCAGCACUGGUUGUGGCUCAGAACUGAUUUGAUGCUAGCACAUGCAGAUUGUUGAAUUCACUUCCACGCCAAAUACAAACAAAUGACAGAAAAAAAAAGUGACUAUUCGCCUGUAAUUUACAAAUACAUGUGGCCAGUGCUGAACUUUUUACUUGGCUGUACGGACCCAGAGUAAGGGUUAAGUUUAGGAUUAAGGGUAAUGUCAAUGGUACAGACACGAUCUGAGGUCCUGCAAUGCGAUUUGAGCGACCAGCGUGUAAGAAAGGUCUGACAGCAGGGCUGCGCAAUUUGGUACCCAUCUGACCCAAAUCGGGAUGGGUACUGUUGGGCGAAGGCGGGUAAACCCUGUACUGUCUGUCGCAGGGCCCAUGGAGCUGGAGCGAUCCCGAUCACUCUGCCGGAAAGCGAGCUGGCGGCCAGACAGAGAGCCGCUGCGGGAUGGGGAGCCAGCCUGAUCGGGCCUCCUGAACUUUAUAAUGUUUUUCUUAUUUUCAUCAAAGCAAUAAUAAAAAGGCUCCCCUGA